rnacentral:rRNA from 1 species
CACGUAGGAGGCAAACGUUAUCCGGAUUUACUGGGCGUAAAGCGCGUGUAGGUGGUUCUGUAAGUAGGGCGUGAAAGCUCCCGGCUCAACUGGGAGAGGCCGUUCUAAACUGCAGAGCUAGAGGAUGGUAGAGGGAGGUGGAAUUCCAGGUGUAGCGGUGGAAUGCGCAGAUAUCUGGAGGAACACCAGUGGCGAAGGCGGCCUCCUGGACCAUUCCUGACACUCAGACGCGAAAGCUAGGGCAGCAAACGGGAUUAGAUACCCUGGUA